rnacentral:lncRNA from 1 species
GAAAACCUUUGUAUACCCACUUCCCAUUUAGAAAUUACUGCAAAUCUUCCUAUCCUUCUCCAGAAUCUAUUCCUAAAUCCCUCUCUUUCUCUCCUCUCUCUGUCCAAGAGUUAUAUUUCCAGGAUGCAUACUCACUAAAUCAAUAAUCUUAACUUCUAUUGUUUUCCAUAAACUCAUAAAAUGUAUUUUUAUUUCACAGUGAAAUUUAUGAUCAAUUUGAUAAGUAUGGGCAAAAAUAAUAUCUUUGAAAUAUGGUUGCUGGGCAGUAAGCUGGGCGCUGUUACUAGCUGGGCAACCCUCAACUCCCCACUCUGCUCACCCUUACCUUACUCCCCACCUUCCACUCCUGCUACCCCCAGCUUUUUGGUGAAAAGUUUAAUCUCACCUCAAAAUUGUAUUUUGCCACAAGUCAACAUUUUUGCUUACAAAUAAUCAAAAUCAAUGCUACAUAUUGUUUCAUCUGCCUGGCAUGCGAUCUGCUGCAUAGACAUCCACACACACUCUGUCCACCAAACAUUUUACCCUAAUUAACUCUUGUUCAUUCUAAAUUUGGCUUAAAUAUUCCUUAUACAAGAAAGCCUUCCAUGACCCUCUUGGUCUGAUUCUGAUGGCCUCUGUGACCCUAAGGCACUCUCUGCAAGCAUCUAUUGGUACUAAUCCUGUGGCUAUUGGUUUAUUUGCAAGUUUCCUCCUUAGAUUAUACUCUUUGUGAAGGAAAAGGCUGUAUGUGUAUAUUUGCUGUUGUUCCUUCAUUUCCCAGUAUAGUGCCUUAACCCAGAGCAGGAGCACAACAAGUGCUUGCUGAAUCUAUACAUAAUUGGAGAAACUGAUUACUGGACAACAGAACAAGGAGUUCAUCUGUAAGAAAUGAAGAAUAAUAGUAAUUACCCUAUAGGAUUCUAUAAUAUUUAAAGUUGUUAAAAUUCUUAAGUAGUGUUAGCCAUUACUAUCAGUAGUAGAUUCAGUGAUUUGGGACAUUAAAAAACACUAUAACACCCAAAUUUAGAUAUACUAAUUGGGGAGUUAGAAUUGAGAAUGCUGGUUGGGUGGCAGGAGCGGAAUUCAAGAAAUAGAAUUAAGUAGUUCCCAUCGUGGCUCAGUGGUUAACAAAUCUGAUUAGGAACCAGGAGGUUGCAGGUUCGAUCCCUGGCCUUGCUCAGUGGGUUAAGGACCCAGCGUUGCUGUGAGCUGUGGUGUAGGUUGCAGACACGGCUCGGAUCCCACGUUGCUGUGGCUCUGGUGUAGGCCAGUGGCUACAGCUCCGAUUGGACCCCUAGCCUGGGAACCUCCAUAUGCCAGGGGAGCAGCCCUAGAAAAGGGAAAAAAAAAAAAAAAAUAGAAUUAAGAACAUAACCUGUUUUCUAUCUGUCUGAUCUUUGUAUCAAGCUUAGUUCUAAGUGCUUUGGAACCAAUGGGGUGCUAAUACUGCCAUGAUAAAGCUGUUACUUUAAUAAAUGUGAUUAUAAAAGCAAAAUUGCAAUCAUUGGGCCCAGGUCCAGGGAUCACUCUCAAACUCAAUAACCUGAACUUUCCCUACAGAAUGGAAAUUGAGCCAUGGUCCUUUGUUGCAAAGACCGAGACUUAGGAAGACAGAUGUCAUUCAAAAUCAAUGCAUUGCUCUCUAACUAGGCAGUUGAACUGGACCACGAAAUAUGAGCAUGCCUAAAAAGUAGACUAUAAGGAGAGAAAAAGCGGAAAUCUAGUUUAGCAUUCUAUCUAGCUGACCUCUCUUUAUAUAAUUUGGAACAUUUUUAAAGAACUAGAUAUGACCAGCAUUCCAUUUCACCUUCAUAAAAUAAAAAUCUUGCAAUAGAAAAGCUAUUAAAAAAUGAUCAGAUAGAAAACUUUUUAAUGGAAUACUAAAAGUUUUUGAAGUUUUUCAAUAAUCACUCUUUCCUUUCCCAAUGUGUUUGGCUUUAAUCUACUGGGUUGGCUAUGAACAUCAUUUUUACUCAUGUGUGACUAGGCCUUUCUAAACCCAUUUUUCAAAAUGGUGGUAUAUUAACUUAUAAUGAAAAAAUUACAUUUUUUAUUGGGAAUUCUCUCUAAUAAGAAGUUUGACCUUUUUAAAUUGUCUUUCCUUCUUUAUUCUUUGUGACUGGUCUUUGUAUGUUUGACUCUUUCAUAUAUUCUUGCUAAUCUCUGAGCUAAUAUAGUAUUGAUUUUUCUCUGAGGUUGUAUUUUAUUAUGAAAUAUAAGCAUUUUUCAGACCAAAUAAUAUACUGUUUCUUCACUAUCACACAACAUUUUUGAUUAGAAAUGGAUUGUGUAUAAUGGAAUAUACAGGAAAAAUUCUGAUGCCACUCUCUAAAACAUAUCACAGAAAAUUGGGGUAGGACAUUCAUGUCGCCAAAUUUCACAAAUAAGGUGUUGUGAAAAAGUGUGGUAAAGAAAUGGAAUAGCAUAAGAAUUAUAAGUGAUUUUUUUUAACUUUUAUUUAUUCUUUAGGAACUGUGUAUUAAUGAUCUUCUGUUAUCAGGCUCUUUGGAUUUAUCAGUGAAGAAAACACAAUGGUAAUCUGCUCUUUGGAGAUUAAAGUUGGUGUAGGAGUUCCUGUUGUGGCUCACUAGAAACAAAUUUGGCAAGUAUCCAUGAGGAUGUGGGGCCUUGCUAAGUGGGUUAAGGAUCUGGCGUUGCCUCAAGCUAUGAUGUAGGUCUUGGACAUGGCUCAGAUCUGGUGUUGCUGUGGCUGUGACUGUGGCUGACAGCUGCAGCUCUGAUCUGACCCUUAGCCCAGGAACUUCCAUAAGCCACAGGUGCAGCCCUAAGAAAAAAACCAAAAAAAACCCCACCAAAACCCAAAACCCAAAAAGGUGGUAUAGCUCACCCACCAGCUGAGGCUCUCUCUGGAGUAAUCUUGUCUUCCUAAUGGCAGCACUUCUUACUUGCUCAGGAAAUACAAUAGAAGCCCUGUUGAUACAAUAGAUGUGUGUGUCUAAAGGUCACAGGAGUGAAUGAUACCAGUUUUUCCUGUCCUGCUCCCUGCACAUCAAUGCUCAAUGGGAAUUUCAAGAGAGUCCAGUGAGUUAUGUAGUAUUAGCUCCUUUGUAUCACAAGAGGAAACUGUACUUAGAGAGGUUAAUGAGCCCAAGUUCAUUUUGCUGCUUCCAUCAUGUUGAACAUUUGGAUCCAGUUCUUCUUUAAAAUUGCAUAUCCUUUCCCCUCAGUUGUUUACCCUUUGCAAACAACUCUGCUUUGAGGUGUUUUGUUUUGUUUUGUUUUUUCGUUUUUUUUUUUUUUUAUUUACCUACUUAGUUUUAUCUUUCUAAAUAUAAAGCAGGCAAGGACAGGGCUCUUGUCUCAUAUUUUGACAUUACUCAUAGAUAACUUUUUGAAAGAUGAAAAUAUAGUAGCUGCUCAUGAAUACAUGAUUAUCCUUUCUCAAUUUUUAAAACAGAGAAUGCUUUUAGGGCAUAGAAAUUAUGCUUAGGUGGCAGUGGAAAAUUUGUGUAUUGUGUAUUAAAUAUCAAAGGUAAAUCUUCAAAAGACAGAUGAUACCAUUCUUUGUUAUCUCCCUUUUCAUUAGCCAGCUCAUUUGGACUGCAAACAGAUGUUCACUGAACAAAAAACUACUUACAUGUACAAUUACCAAUUCUGUAUGCGCCAAUGAAUGCUCCAACUUUACAAAAAGUUAGCUAAAUAUGUUCAAUUUCAUUGAACCAUAUUUUCUCUAAGGGACUGGAUGCUUUGAUAUUGCUGGCCUGUGUUAAGCAGAUAAAGUGCUUUUAAUUUGUCUCUUGGAUUGAUCUAUAGCUAUAACCUAUUUGCUGAAAUAGGGGAUAAAUCUGCUAAAGAUUCUUGGACGUACUGGUUCACUGCCUCUCAUAGGUAAACACCAACUUACUCUCUGUAUUAGGGAGUUCGGUUGUAGCCAGGAAUGAUUUCAUUUGCACCUCCCAUCUACUAUGGCGUUUUUCCUCAAUGAAGAGAGCAGUAUUAGGACACCAGAGGCAGAAAAUGGAAAGCAGAAAUUCACCUAUUAAUUCUGAGUUUCUUAACCUAUCCAAAGAGUCACUCACUGGAAAACAAUCAGGCUUUGUCAGUGUCGACUUAAAAAAUGUGCACAUACUAAAAAUUGAGAGUUAAGUUUUAUUUGGGGCAAAAUUAGGACUUAAGUCCAGGCAAUAACACCUCAGGUAGCCCUGAGAAACUGCUCGAGGAGGCCAGGGGGGAGCCUAGGAUAUAUGAGUUUUUGCAACAAAGGGAAGGUGGUAGGAACAAAAGAUUUACAGAUAACCAGAUUUACAGAAAAAGAUUUACAAAAAAACCAGUUUCUAUGGGAAGAUGUAAAGGGCUGGUCUUAUUGGAAUCACUCCUUAGAUACUCAUCUCAGCGGGGUGGGCCAGUAGUCUUUGUUUUUUCUUGAGUUCCCUCAGGGUUCAUACCUGCCCACCCUUGGAACUGACGCAUUCACAGAUGAUUGUGACAAUUUUUGUUUUGUCCACUUUACAGCCCAGGAGGCAGUAUUUCAGACAGCUAUGACAUACUACCCCAAAAAGGAAAGGGGUAUAUCAAGAUAUAAGUGAUAAAGGUGAAGGGGGAGGUGCACUCGGCCAAGCAUGAAUUUUAGAAAAUUUGCUGUUGGCUUCGUGAAGGUUACUAUUAGCCCCGAGGAGCAGACAUCACCAUGAAGGGUUUUAGUGUUUUUCUAAAUAUGAGGAGAUGCAAGAACUGGGCUCAGAGGAGUUCCCACCAUGGCUCAGUGGAAACGAAUCUGACUAGUUACCGUGAGGACUAGUGAGGACGCAGGUUCAAUCCCUGACCUUGCUCAGUGGGUUAAGUAUCCAGUGUUGCCAUGAGCUGUGGUGUAGGUUGCAGAUGCAACUCAGAUCCUAAGUUGCUGUGGCUAUGGCAUAGGCCAGCGGCUACAGCUCUGAUUUGACCCCUAGCCGGGGAACCUCC